rnacentral:rRNA from 1 species
CAGCAGCCGCGGUAAUACAGAGGAUGCAAGCGUUAUCCGGAAUGAUUGGGCGUAAAGCGCCUGUAGGUGGCUUUUCAAGUCCGCCGUCAAAUCCCAGGGCUCAACCCUGGACAGGCGGUGGAAACUACUAAGCUGGAGUGCGAUAGGGGCAGAGGGAAUUUCCGGUGGAGCAGUGAAACGCGUUGAGAUUGGAAAGAACACCAACGGCGAAAGCACUCUGCUGGGCCGACACUGACACUGAGAGACGAAAGCUAGGGGAGCAAAUGGGAUUAGAUACCCGUGUAGUCCCUGUCUCUUAUAA